AUACGGAGGAUCCGAGCGUUAUCCGGAUUUAUUGGGUUUAAAGGGAGCGUAGGUGGAUUGUUAAGUCAGUUGUGAAAGUUUGCGGCUCAACCGUAAAAUUGCAGUUGAAACUGGCAGUCUUGAGUACAGUAGAGGUGGGCGGAAUUCGUGGUGUAGCGGUGAAAUGCUUAGAUAUCACGAAGAACUCCGAUUGCGAAGGCAGCUCACUAGACUGUUACUGACACUGAUGCUCGAAAGUGUGGGUAUCAAACAGGAUUAGAUACCCUGGUAGUCCACACAGUAAACGAUGAAUACUCGCUGUUUGCGAUAUACAGUAAGCGGCCAAGCGAAAGCAUUAAGUAUUCCACCUGGGGAGUACGCCGGCAACGGUGAAACUCAAAUG
rnacentral:rRNA from 1 species